rnacentral:rRNA from 1 species
UUGAAAGGGAAACGAUUGAAGUCAGUCGUACCUGCGGGUAAUCAGCCUUUUGGGCAUGAUUCUGUGGAGCGUGAGGAGUUAAACGCCUUCAUGCCUGCAUAUUCGUGUACAUUGGGUGUACUUGCCCGUGUGGUUAGUUAACAUCAAUUUUGGUUAUCAUAAAAUGGUUGGAGGAAUGUAGCUUCGAUUUCGAUUGAAGUGUUAUAGCCUUCGGCAGAUGUGAUGAUCGGGAUUGAGGAUUGCAACGGAUACCCUUCGGGGCUACCUGUCUGGUCUCUGAUCGUUGCUUUGGUGCCGAAAGCGUGCUUACGGUUAUCAAAGUCGAUGGUCAAUAGGUUAGAACGGGUUAAAUUCGUUAAGGAUGUUGACGUA